UACGGAGGGGGCUAGCGUUGUUCGGAAUUACUGGGCGUAAAGCGCGCGUAGGCGGCUUUGUAAGUUAGAGGUGAAAGCCCGGAGCUCAACUCCGGAAUUGCCUUUAAGACUGCAUCGCUAGAAUUGUGGAGAGGUAAGUGGAAUUCCGAGUGUAGAGGUGAAAUUCGUAGAUAUUGGGAAGAACACCGGUGGCGAAGGCGGCUCUCUGGACCGAUACUGACGCUGAGGCGCGAAAGCGUGGGGAGCAAACAGG
rnacentral:rRNA from 1 species